UUCUCGUAAGAGUAGCUUUAACAAGAAGGAUUUUCUUUUGAUCCAAAAGACUGAUUCUAAGAAGACCUUCCUAUUCUCAAACUUUCAAUGUGUAUGCUGUCUCGGUUUCUUCAUUGAAUUGUUGACACGAACGCGAGCUCCAAGUGGAACAUUUUUCGUAAGCAGAACUGGUGUUGUGGGAUGAACCA
rnacentral:ncRNA from 1 species